UAAGACAUUUCCAGAUCUAGUCAUAACAGAGUGAAAUUGUAUCUGCUAUUAAAACCAAAACCAUGAUAGAUGCUUUCAUUAUUAUGCCAGAAACUCUAUAUUCUAGCAGCAUUCAAUGCGAAUGCUACCCAGUGGAUCCAAAGUUUCUGUGUAUUAGCGAAAUGAAUACCCAAAGCCAUUCUUCAAGAAAAGAAAACAAAUGUGCCAUUCCCCAAAGGAACUAAAGACAAAAUGGAAAUGGGUAUCUAAUUUAGAUAAAGUCCGCUUACACUUUCAUUUUCUAGCCCUCUGUCUUAUUAGGUCUGGUUAAUAUUUUGUUAAGGACUUCCUUUUAGAAAUCCAUUACAUAAGCAAGAGACUUGGCCUCUGUGGUAAUUGCAAACAUUAAGUACGAUGAUGGUUCGAUGCAUCACACAACUGGAGACAAAAACAACCUGAUGUGACUUUGAGCAACAUCUGAGUCACAGAAGAGAAAUUCAAAUGAAUGCUCAACAUACUGGAAGAGGACACAACGGAAAAAGGAUCUCAAAGCCAGGGAUGAACUUCUCUCUCCCACCCUGCUGAAAAGGUGUCUUUUCAUCUGGAAUAGCUCAGGAUCUUCUACCUCUGACCUUGUGCACACUUCAAAACAGUCCUCUCCCAAUGUCGCAGGCGCAUCACAUCUGAUCUAAAUGAUUUGUUCCUGGCAAGGGUUCCAACUUUGCAGAGAACACUGGGAAGCUACAACUCUCCAAAGCAAGGAAAAUGGAUGAUACUAGAAAAUAUCCUGAGUGAGGUAAUCCAGAUCCAAAGGAACAUGCAUGGUGUGGGGUGGAGCAGAGGAGCCAUUCUCCCUACCAAAGCCGUUGAUGGCUCUCAGCUCCUUCAAUACUGGUUGGUUUAUCCACUCACUUUCUCAAUGUUUUAGAUAUUAUCGUGGCUUAGCAAGUACCCCACUCUCCCCUUGCCACUCCGAACCUAGUGACUUAAAUAAUUGCUUCACUGUGUUACUCAAUUCUGUAAACACGGUACUCAGAUAAGACAAGUGAGAAUACUCUACCUGUUUUACACCGUGUGGUCUACAGUUACACAGUGAUCAGGAGGGAUGCACUCCCAUUCCAAAUAUUGAUAUGGUUCUCAGAAGCGACUUCAGUGCAGCUGAGGCAGCCAAUAGAAACACAUACUUAAGCCUUUCCAUGUGGGUGAGGCUCCUUUACAAUAUGGUGGCCGUAGGCAGUUCUCUUAUUGGGUGGCUCAGUGAUUCAACAGGUUGUAUCUGCAUGUACCAUGCAGAAUCUGCAGCUCCUGUCAUAAUCUAGACCUUAUAUCUCUUCAGGUCUUUCCUCUACUUUCUAUUAAUUACAAUCAAAUUAUUAGUUUCAUCCAGAUAUAGAUUCAAGAAUAGAAAUCCUGUACCUCAACAAGGGAAUGACAAUGGACCUGUGGUUGUUGGCAGUAAAUUGACAUGGGUUUCCUUGUGUUCUUACGGCUCUCCAUGUUUGUAGUUUGACUCUUAGACUUCUCAUUGUUCUAAGCUGAAGAGGUUGCCAGAGUGCCCCCUGGACUAUGAAUUUCAGAUGAGCAGAAUAAACUAAUAUGUGUGUGUGUGUGUGUGUGUGUGUGUGUGUGUGUGUGUGUGUGCUGUCUGUUUAAGAUUCAGUUUCAACCGGAUGCCCCAUGUGUUAAUUAUAUAAUCCUGUUUAACACAUUUUCCAGUUUUAGUGGAAUCAGAGAAGUUCAAUUAUGUCUAUUAUUGGUCCAAAUGUGCUACUUGAUUGAUUGAUUCAUUGAAAAGCUACAUAUACCUAAUCAUGACUUUGUUCCUCUACUGGCAAAAUCACAUGUCCUACACAUGAAUCUUCGGCAUGACUUCCAGUCGUCUGGAGCCUAUGUGUACAACCCUAUACAUUCCCAAUAUUAAAACAUAAUACCAACUAAAAUUUUUCAGUUUUUAUAGUUGGUAUGACUUGUGAUUACAUUUGAAAACUCUGAAGCAAAAUUCUGUUAGGCUUACAAAAUAAAAUUGAAAAAUGUCUCUAAAAGAGGAACACUCCUCCAUUGUUGGUGGGAUUGCAGACUGGUAAAACCAUUCUGGAAAUCAGUCUGGAGGUUCCUCAGAAAAUUGGACAUUGAACUGCCUGAGGAUCCAGCCAUACCUCUCUUGGGCAUAUACCCAAAAGAUGCCUCAACAUAUAAAAGAGACACGUGCUCCACUAUGUUCAUCGCAGCCUUAUUUAUAAUAGCCAGAAACUGGAAAGAACCCAGAUGCCCUUCAACAGAGGAAUGGAUACAGAAAAUGUGGUACAUCUACACAAUGGAAUAUUACUCAGCUAUCAAAAACAACGAGUUUAUGAAAUUCGUAGGCAAAUGGUUGGAACUGGAAAAUAUCAUCCUGAGUGAGCUAACCCACUCACAGAAAGACAUACAUGGUAUGCACUCAUUGAUAAGUGGCUAUUAGCCCAAAUGCUUGAAUUACCCUAGAUCCCUAGAACAAAGGAAACUCAAGACGGAUGAUCAAAAUGUGAAUGCUUCACUCCUUCUUUAAAUGAGGAAAAAGAAUACCCUUGGCAGGGAAGGGAGAGGCAAAGAUUAAAACAGAGACUGAAGGAACACCCAUUCAGAGCCUGCCCCACAGGUGGCCCAUACAUAUACAGCCACCCAAUUAGACAAGAUGGAUGAAGCAAAGAAGUGCAGACCGACAGGAGCCGGAUGUAGAUCGCUCCUGAGAGACACAGCCAGAAUACAGCAAAUACAGAGGCGAAUGCCAGCAGCAAACCACUGAACUGAGAAUAGGUCCCCCGUUGAAGGAAUCAGAGAAAGAACUGGAAGAGCUUGAAGGUGCUCAAGACCCCAAAAGUACAACAAUGUCAAGCAACCAGAGCUUCCAGGGACUAAGCCACUACCUAAAGACUAUACAUGGACUGACCCUGGACUCUGUCCCCAUAGGUAGCAAUGAAUAUCCUAGUAAGAGCACCAGUGGAAGGGGAAGCCCUGGGUCCUGCUAAGACUGAACCCCCAGUGAACUAGACUAUGCGGGGAGGGUGGC